AGACGGAGGGAGCACAGCUGCGAACAGGCAGGAAGGGACCUAAAGAGAAAAAAAUCUAAAUGUAUGUACCAUGGAGCCUUGCACAGCAAACACAAAGUCGUGAAACCAAUUUGUAAUCGUCCACUCUGUCCAUCAACGCCGGAUCACGUUUCCCACCAUUGGAUGUCAUUGUAAUAGAUCUGCAUACCAUUAUAAGCCAAGCUCGCCGGAAUUAUCCCCCCAUCCUGGAUGAUCCAAGCAUGUUGGUGUGCAAUCACACCGACGUGUUUCACAACUGUACAUGAGUGACGUGCACCUGGCGAGCUAUACUUUGCUCAGGACUCCGAGGCUGUGAAAUUGUGCAUCAUGAACAUGUGCAGUGUACUGAAUUCAGGGAACAACUACAGCUCUGAACAGAAAUAUCACAUCCAAGGCCAGGAUUUUGGGACACAUUGAGGCUUUCAAGUAAGAUAUUUAAUGAAUGUGUUAAAAGAC